UACAGAGGUCCCGAGCCGUUGUUCGGAUUUAUUGGUGCGUAAAGGGUGCGUAGGCGGCGGAGUAAGUUGGGUGUGAAAUCCCGGGGCUUAACCUCGGAAUUGCAUUCAAUACUGCUUCGCUCGAGUACUGGAGAGGAGGCUGGAAUUUACGGUGUAGCAGUGAAAUGCGUAGAUAUCGUAAGGAAGGCCGGUGGCGAAAGCGAGCCUCUGGACAGUUACUGACGCUGAUGCACGAAGGCCAGGGGAGCAAACGGG
rnacentral:rRNA from 1 species